AGGAAGGAAGAAUUAAAGGAUAAAAUGAAGGAAGGAAAGAGAAGGAAGGAAGACUGAAAGGAGAAAAAAAGGAAGGAAGGAAGGAAGGAAGAAAGGGAGGAAGGAAGAAAGAAAGAAUUAAAUAAUGAAAGGAGAAAAAAGGAAAGACAGAAGAUAGGAAGGAAGGAAGGAAGGAAGAAAGGGAGAAAGAAAAAAAGACUUUGGCAAAUUAGAUGAAAGCACUCUUGUUUGCACUCAGCUGAUCAGAUCGAAUUUGCCUGUCUGGACAUCACAAACGUAUCUGCAUGGGUUGCUGUGGUAACAAGGUCAGCAUCCCUAAAUAAUCUUUCAUUUCCUCGAACCCUUGAACUUGCACUGUCUUCAAUCUGAAUGUAAUGAAGAUGUUGUUUGUCUCGUUUUGAGUGAUGAAAAAGACACAUUGAAAUACAGUUUGAGUUUUUAGAGCAUCCAGACUAUCAGAAAUCAAUCUGGAUACAACCAAGAUUUCUGGCUUUUAAGACCGUCGAAAAUCAAUCUGAGUACAAUCUAAAUACACUUAAAAUCAGAUUCCAUGUUGUUUCUGGCUGUUCAAACUAUCAAAAAUCUAUCUGCAUAGAAUCUAGAUAUGCAAAAAAAAAAAAAUCUGAUUUCAUGUGAUUUAUGGCGGUUAAAUCUAUCUGGAUACAAUCUGGAUAUACCAAACCUUUGAUUUAAUGUAACUUCUGUCGUUUCAGACUGUUUAAAAUAAAGCUGUAUACCAAAAAUCUGAUUUCACAUGGUUUUGGGCUGUUCAGUCUAGCAAAAAAAUGAAUCUGGGAACAAUCCAGAUAUGCCUAAAAUCAGAUUCCAUGUUGUUGUUUUUUUUUUUUGCCGUUCAGACUAUAAGAAAUCAAUCUGGAUACAAUCGAGAUACAGGAAAAAAUCUGAUUUCACAUGGUUUCUGGCUGUUCAGAAUAUCAAACAUCAAUCUGGGAACAAUCUGGAUAUACCAAAAUCUGAUUUGAGGUGGUUUCUGGCUUUUCAGACAAUCAAAAAUCAAUCUGGAAACAAUCUAGAUAUGUCUAAAAUUAGAUUAUGUGUUUUUUUUUUUUUUUUUUUUUUUUUUUUGCUGUUCAGACUAUAAGAAGUCAAACUGGAUGCAAUCGAGAUAUGGGAAAAAAAAUCUGAUUUCACAUAGUUUAUGUCUGUUCAGAGUACAAUCUAGACAUGCCUAAAAUCAGAUUCAAUGUUUUUUUUUUGCUGUUCAGAUUAUCAAAAAUAAAUCUGGAUGCAAUCUGGUUAUACCAAUAAUCUGACUGGAUGUGAUUUCUGGCUGUCAAACUAUCAAAACUUUAUCUGGAUACAAUCUAGAUAUGAUACAAUCUGAUUUUAAUGUGGUUUCCAUCUGUUCAGACUAUCAAAAAUAAAUCUGGAUUCAAUCUGGAUAUGCCAACAGACAAAUUUCAUGCAUGUGCUUUCUGGAUGUUCAGACUAUCAAUAAUCAAGCUGGAUUCAGUCUAGUUAUGCAAAACAAAUCUGAUUUUCUGUGGGGUUUAUCUGGAUGCAACCUAGAUGUGUAAAAUAUCUGAUUUCAUGUGGUUUCUGGCUGUUCAGACUAUAAGACAUCAAUUUGGAUACAAUCUGGCCAUGCCAAAAGUAGAUUUGAUGCCAAAAAUCAACCUGAAUGUGAUUUGGACUGGCAGUUUGAACAUCUAUAAAGAUCAUAUCUACAGUAAAACAGCAGUGUUUCUCUUCAGGAUUGCGUGAAUCUGACAUGGUUGAUGACUCAGUUGUUUUGGUGUGAUCGGAUAAACAGGGUCGCAUUAAAUAUUCAUAAGGAUCCGGACUGAUUUAUAUCAGCUGGUCGAUAAUAUUGGCUGAUAUUGAUGUUCUCAGGGUUUAUCGGUGUUGGCAAAUAUUCUGCCAGUAAUGAGCUCAUAAUUAUAGACAGAUCUUGAGCUGCCGUCUCUCCGGGAAUUAAAUCAAUGGCCUCUUGAUGAUAGAGAGAAACGUUGGGACAGCUGUGCCACUGAGGAACCUGAUCUGAACCCACCAUGUUCAACUGUGUGGCAGCAGUACAAGCUGAACAGUUCUAUCAAAACACCUUUAAUUAAUUAAUGUAGCCUUGCUUUAUAACCCAGAGGCAUGAACUGAAUAUUUUUUUUUAUUUUCUGCAAAAUAAGAGCAAAAUACAUAGAAUGCAAUUAAGAAAAAAGUGACAAAAUAAAAACUUACAAAAACAAUGUUUAAGUUUCUUUAAUUUUGAUUUUAAAUAAAAUGUACAUUUCUGUUCAUCUCUAAUGUUUACACUCUUAACUGAUAGAUGACCCCUCUUCUUUGUAGUUAACCUUUGUAGGUUAAGGUUAGGGUUAGACUUAAGGUUUAGGUAAGAAUUCGAUUUAGUGUUAAAUUUAAGGUUUAGGGCUAGAUUUAAGGUUUAGGUUAAGGUUUAGGGUUACAUUUAGGCUUUAGGGCUAGAUUUAAGGUUUAGGUUAAGGUUUAGGGUUACAUUUAGGCUUUAGGGCUAGAUUUAAGGUUUAGGUUAAGGUUUAGGUUUACAUUUAGGCUUUAGGGCUAGAUUUAAGGUUUAGGUUAAGGUUUAGGGUUACAUUUAGGCUUAGGGCUAGAUUUAAGGUUUAGAUUAAGGUUUAAGGUUACAUUUAGGCUUUAGGGCUAGAUUUAAGGUUUAGAUUAAGGUUUAAGGUUACAUUUAGGCUUUAGGGCUAGAUUUAAGGUUUAGGUUAGGGUUAGGUUUACAGUUAGAUUUAAGGCUUAGGUUAAGGUUUUAGGAUUAGAUUAAAGGUUUAGGGCAAGGUUAGGCUAUGGUUAGAGUUAAGAUUAGAUGUAAGAUUUAGAGUUAAAUUUAAGGUUUAGGUUAGGGCUAGAUUUAACGUUAGAUUUAAGAUUUAGGGCUACAUUUAGGGUAUAGGUUAAGGGUUAGGUUAGGGUUACAUUUAAAGUUAGAUUUAAGAUUAAGGUUAAGGUUAGGCAUACGUUAGAUAUAAAGUUUAUUUUAGGGGUUAGGUUUUAGGGUUGAUUUAUGGUUGAGGUAAGGCUUAGGGUUAGAUUUAAGGUUUAGGGUUAAAUUUAAGGUUUAGGUUAGGGCUAGAUUUAAGGUUAGAUUUAAGGUAUAGGGCUAGAUUUAAAGUACAGGUUAGGGCUAGAUAAAAGGUUACACUUGUGAUUUAGAGAUAGAUUUAAGGCUAGGUUAGGGAUACAUUAGAUUUAAAGUUUAUUUUAAGGGUUAGGUUUUAGGGUUGAUUCUUGGUUGAGGUUAGGUUUUAGGGUUAGAUUUAAGGUUUAGGUUAAGGUUUAAGUUAGGUUCAGAUUUAACGUUUAUUUUAAGGGUUAGGUUUUAGGGUUGAUUCUUGGUUGAGGUUAGGUUUUAGGGUUAGAUUUAAGGUUUAGGUUAAGGUUUAAGUUAGGUUCAGAUUUAACGUUUAUUUUAAGGAUUAGGUUUUAGAGUUGAUUCUUGGUUGAGGUUAGGUUUUAGGGUUAGAUUUAAGGUUUAGGUUAAGGUUUAAGUUAGGUUUAGAUUUAAUGUUUAUUUUAAGGGUUAGGUUUUAGGGUUGAUUCUUGUUUGAGUUUAGGUUUUAGGGUUAGAUUUAAGGUUUAGGUUAAGGUUUCAGUUAGGUUUAGAUUUAAUGUUUAUUUUAAGGGUUAGGUUUUAGGGUUGAUUCUUGUUUGAGGUUAGGUUUUAGGGUUAGAUUUAAGGGUUAGGUUAAGGUUUAGGUUAGAUUCAAGGUUUGAUUCAAGGUUGAGGUUAGGCUUAGGGUUAGAGGUUAGAUGUAGGGUAAGGUUCUACACAGAAUCAUUACAUUCAACUUAGUUAAAUUGCCUUCAAUAGACUUUCAGUUUAAACUUACUUGAGCAUCUAUGGGGCAUCUCUACAAUAAUGAUUUAGUUCUUAAUAGUCACAAUAUCGAUAUUGUUCUUACUGUAGUUAUCUCUGCUAAAUAACAGUGUUGAUGGUUCUUCUAGAGACGGCAUGGUCUUCUGGGCAUCUGGUAUCAUCUUUGUUUUCUGUAGACGGAGAGAGGUUUUAUUGGAGGGCUAAAGGAGGAGGAACUGAAGGCAUAAAUCCUGUCCCUCUGCAGCCGGUGUUUAAGUGCACAGAAAAGUGUAGUGUUUAAGGAAGAUAUUAAAUCCCCCUGAUAGGAAAAGCUCGUCCGAGCAGAUGGGGAAAGUUGAGUAGAGGUGAAUAAAUUAUACAGCAAAUGCUGCAAAGUGGGGGUAAAGUGGGAAAGAGUACUCCCUGUGCCCCAAAAAUAGCAUGGAUAAAAAGACUGGAACUGGGUUAUAAAAUAAAAAAUUCAACGAUGGCAGUGGCGAUGAUUAUGAUGAUGAUGAUGAUAGUAGUAAUAAUAAUAAUGCUGAAAUAAUUAGCUAAAUUGAUGAAUGAAUAAGAUUAUUAUACAAUAUAUGGAUAUGACCUUAAUAUUAGCCUUUGUGUUUUCUUAGCGAGUAGAGUCCAAUACUAUGGAUAUGUCAGUUUGUUGACUUUGUGGAAAAAAAUAUAUAUUUGUGUUUUAUUUACUUAGGAUAGUUUAACGUUUUUUUUUUUAUAUUCCAAUUGCAAUGUCUGAAUAUUUCUAAUAAUCAAAAGUUUGCGUCUUUUUUAAAGGAUCCAAAUAUAUUAUUUUAUAUUAUUACUGUAACUGUUUCUAAUAUCAUUAUUUGACUAAUAAAAAUACUACUACUGCUUUCCCUACUUUUACACCUACUGCUAUUAAUAAUACUGCUAUAAACACUACUUUAAAGUUAUAUUAUGAGAAAUCAUUUUUUUUUCUCUCAUUUACAUGUGUAUAUUUUCUAUGUUUUUCUAUGUUUUUUUUUUAAAACACAUUAUCUGUUGAAAUUCAUUUGUAUUGAUUGAUGAAACAAUAUCUUGUUUUAAAAUGUGUCACAUGGGCUAAACCAAGCACAGACACACGCAGAUCCCAAUCAAACAAUUUAUUAUCAAAUGGGUUAAGGCUUACAGGGGUAGUCAGUGACAGGCAAGGUCAGUAUCAAAACAGCAGCAAUAAUAAACAAUAUACCAGAAAGUGAUGAAGGCAAAAACGGGUCAUAAACAGGGAAAUCCAACAGGUAAA